rnacentral:lncRNA from 1 species
GUUGAAAAGCAGUUUAAACAGCUUACCCCAAAUUAAUGUCGACGUAAUCACAAUAAGGCUCCACCCUGCGUGCUGCUUCCAGUAGAGUGUCUGGAUCAUUGGCACAAAAUUGAACAAAUAAUGGUCGAUCUUCCUGCAUAUUUCAGAGUCGAUAUAUUACAUACAGCGGCGGAUUGACCACUAGCUUAGGAGGUCCAAGACACCCACUCAAAAACAUAUAUGCAAUGUAGUGAAUUCCUGAGAGCGACACUUGUCAUUCUCGUUAAAGAUGCGAGAAUGAAGCAUAGGAGUGUAGGCAGCUUCAGCACCAUACUUCCGACACAGUAAUCGAAAGGGAAGCUCCGAAUUAUCGACCAUUGGUGCUACAAUGAGCUUAGGCUCACCCAGCAUCUUCCAAUGGGCCCACGCUCUCUCAAUUCUGGCAUCGCAGGUUAAGUAGCCAUUUGGACCGACUACAGGUUCUGUUGGUUUGGAACAUAGGUCUUCUUCAGCAGGGGAGUCUGUUAGGGUUUGAGUGGUGGAAUCAAGGGCCAUGGAUGGGUGGGUUAAAUGGUGAUUGGUGAUAAGUAGUAAUGGAGGCGGGCUUUAAUGUACGGAGAGUGUUUUGAGUUCACGAGAUGGCGGCGGUGAUGAACUCAUCGUCUGGUAGGUCUUUUUGGCGUGCGCUGUUUCAGAGUUUAGAGUUCAAACUCUUCCAGCCAAAUUGGAUGGAUAGGGUGGUUGUUACUAAUGCUCAUGUAUCUCAAGGUUAGAGUCAUGUCCAAGCCGGAUUUGAUGUAAUUAGAAAAUGUGGAUUACUCACUCGGUAGAAGAACAUAUCUCUUAUGCCACAGGAUGUGGCAUCGCGCCACCCCGCCAGAUAAGCAAAAAUGACGCCUCUUGGCAUUCUUGAGGGGCUUUAUACCACACUCUCACAUUCUUGAGGCCGAAUGGCAUUUUGGUGUAACAGAAGGUCCCUUCAUCUGUCACAAAUGUCGUCUUUUCUUCGUCUUCCAGAGACAUCUGUAUUUGGUGAUAUCCUUUGUAUACGUCAAGAAACAUUUUAAAGGAUACUGGGCCACUGAGUCCACCUGCACAUCAAUCUCGGGGAGGGGAUAACAAUCCUUGAGGUAGGCCUUGUUUAAGUCUUUGUAAUCCAUUCACAUUCUUUACCUCCCAUCUUUUUUGCCUACCAUAACCGAGUUGGCAAUCCACAUGGGGUAUCUGACUUCCUUUACAAUACCUACCCUGAGGAGCUUUCUGGUCUCUUCACAAGCUGCUCUUCUCUUUUCCGGUUCCAUACUACGUUUCUUUUGCUUUACGGGUCUCAUCCAAUUGUGGGUGUUGAGUCGGUGUUUUAGGAUAUCCCACUCCUCCAUCUCCUGUAUUUUAGGAUCUUCCCCCCACUUUCUAACUUUUUUGAUUUCUUUCCCGCCACACAGAACCAGCUGGGUCUGACCCUGACCCCUUAUUGGGUUCGUAUCACAAACCAAGGCUAUAACAUUGUGCAUCAUAUUUGGUAAGGUUAAUAAAAGUAUCCUUGUAACAUAAGAAGUUGCCAUAUUAAAUGGUAGUUUAAAAAAUCCCCAAGUAAAAGAAAUUAUCAGCAAAUCCUUAAUCAACAUAACUUGAAUGUAAGUAUGAGGAAAUAAGAAAAUCAUGUCAAUUAAUGAUGUGAAUUCAAACCAAUGCACAAUCUAGAUGUGAAUCAAUCAUGUGAAUGAUGAAGAUAUGAGUAAAACAAUAUCAUUAUUAGAAGAUUCCACAUAAUCCAAGAAAGUAUUAAAACAUCACUAGUUUAAAAAGGUCAAACUCAUACAAAAACCGAAAAAGGAUGAUGAUUGAUUGAUGAUCCAACCAUGGAUCAAUGGUAAAAGCACACCAUCUCAAAUAAUCAUAAUCAACUCAAAGAAAGUUAUCUCUAUCCAAGCUAGACAAAACCUAACUUAACAGUAGACAUGUGAUUGAUGUAUCGUGUAAUCGUGAAUUGUUUUGAAUGCCUUAUCUUCUCAAAGAAAGUUUGGUGAGCUCCAAGCUAUAAAAGGCCGACAAGUUUACAGUCGAUUGUGAAUUCACUGUGAAAAUCUUAUCAACUUGAACAAGUUUUAUCAAAUCUAAUCAAGUCUUGUAAACUCUAACUAGUUAAAAGUAGAACUUGACACACAUGACACACGCCAGAUACACCGUUUAACUGUGGAACGAGCGUCUCAUGUCCAGAUAAAACUUUUUCAUUAAAUCUUGUUUGUCCAAAUCACCAUCAUGCAAGCACAUAUAUAAGUCUUUAGAACAAACAUUACAAAGUUGUCUUACUUUACAAUUUAAGCAAUCAUGUCACCUACACCAGGUGUAUCCUGUUGUAUGCUAAAUUUCUAGAUCUCUAUCUCUCUAUAUACGUACAUAGAUACGUAUAGAGAGAGAUAGAGUAAAAAGAGAUGUGAAAAUAAGAUUUAGGGACGUAAGAACAGUGAAAUCCAAUCAUAAAUCAUGCCUAGGUGAUAAUUUGAACUUUGAAUACUAUAUUAUAGAAAUAUCAAGAAAAGAAGUGUCAACCAAAGGGGUGUCAUUUUUUCAAACGAAUGGUGCUCUUUACCAUACUUGACUGAUUGAUAUUUUAUAAAGUGCAAUGAUGGAGUGGGACUUUUAAUUAUAAAACAAAGACACUUUAGUUUUAUACUUACUAUAUUAAAGAGUGUGGCGAUUUUACUUAAAAAAACAAUUACAUUUCAGUACUUUAAUCUUUUACCUUUUUUUUUUAAAUUCCAUUAUUAUAAUUACUUAUAAGUUAUUUUGUUUUUCUUUCAUAACUUAUAGUUAUAAUUGUUGGAAUUAAACUGAGCACACAUGAACAAAC